UGAGGAAUAUUGGUCAAUGGACGGAAGUCUGAACCAGCCAAGUAGCGUGCAGGAUGACGGCCCUAUGGGUUGUAAACUGCUUUUGUAUGGGGAUAAAGUUAGGGACGUGUCCCUAUUUGCAGGUACCAUACGAAUAAGGACCGGCUAAUUCCGUGCCAGCAGCCGCGGUAAUACGGAAGGUCCAGGCGUUAUCCGGAUUUAUUGGGUUUAAAGGGAGCGUAGGCUGGAGAUUAAGUGUGUUGUGAAAUGUAGACGCUCAACGUCUGAAUUGCAGCGCAUACUGGUUUCCUUGAGUACGCACAACGUUGGCGGAAUUCGUCGUGUAGCGGUGAAAUGCUUAGAUAUCAUGAAGAACUCCGAUUGCGAAGGCAGCUUACGGGAGUGUUACUGACGCUUAAGCUCGAAGGUGCGGGUAUCGAACAGG
rnacentral:rRNA from 1 species